CACACGGCUCUAUUAUGUGCUUUCCUUCUGAAAAUCUACACAUCAACACGGCUUCCGCCACUGUUCCUACAAAGUGCGUACACGAACUCGAGCACACACGCGCGUAAUCGUGCCUGCCCAUUCCUUCGAUGCGCUCCAAACCGGGUCCUCGGCGGCGUUUUGCUUCUCUUCCCUCCCCACCUUCACUCCCACUCUCCAACACGAAAGACUUGACCAAGGUGAGGCGAGCGAGGCGAUCUUACACGCGACCGCGCUUCUCUUUUUGCCUAUUUUUCUUGAUUCGCGUGUUGUCGGCUCCUCUUGCACGGCUUAUGGGAGGCGAGUGAGAGAUGACAUGAGGAGUAUACGCGACUACAGCAAGCAGCCCUCCCCCACUUUUAUCUGCACUCCUUUCGCCCCUGCUAUCACGGGUAGUCUUCACUCCCUUCACAGACACGCUUGGCCGAGAGCAGUCGCCCCCCCCUGCUUGCGCCUUCUCCGGUCGUAUCGCUGCGGUGCCUUCAUAGGGAGGCGUGCUCGCACAUGGCUGUGCGUGCUGCACGCAAGCAGCCAGUGAUAAGCACGAACUCUGUUUGCGUCCCCCAUACGGCAUGCCACAACUCUCGUUGUUAUCGACAACGUCGCAUAGGGAGGACACUCUUGAAGCGCCUUCUCUGCGUGCUCUGAUUCGCAGCGACGUGGCGAAUGGGUGCCUCCCUUCCCACUCCAACAAGCUCGCAGAGCGGCACGCGUCUCUUCUACCGACGUUUUUGCCUUCACCUGCAACACCCGUCCCUUCGCUGUCUCAGACGCACAGCGGUGUGGUCUCUUUACAACCGCUUCUCUAGGCUCGCGUCGCUCGAUCUGUGCUGCACACGCGACUUCGUGGCUGCGUCUUGGGGCGCCGCAGCCUUAAUGCGGGCCGCCGAGUACUUCAAAGACGCCUUGGAGGAGUACUGCGGGCCGCGCGCUGGUUGACUGAAGGGGGCAGUGAAGGGCCUUCAGCACUGCGCCUGGCCCCGAAAGACCGUGCACAGCUGACGGCCUUGCUGUGGGCCGCUUGAUCGCCCGAAGAGACCAAGGGCACAAGGGCUCCAAGCAUCAACGCCGCUGCCGCCAUGGGACCCGAUCAAUCUAGCUCACGUCGCUGGGGAAGAGGUGGCGAGGAAGAUGAAGCUCACGGCUUGGCCGACGUCGUUGUUGCCCUCCCCCCCUCAGCUGCUCUGUUGGUAGCGGCGCUUCUCCUCGCUACAGGCACAAAGAGCUCGGCUCUCUCGAAACGUCUCUGACGCCUGUCGGAGCCCACUUCGUGUGCUGUCCUGCAGCUCGCUCUCUUUAUCCUACUAACGCUGUGCCGGCGCGCUUGGCUCCUCCGGUGAAGUGCGACGCGCCUUGAACGACGUUGUCGCCUACGCCGCCUGCCGAGUGGAUGAUGGAGGCUCGGCACGUUGUGAGCGCGACCCCCGCGCUGCAGCAGGUGCUGCAGUGCUGCGGGACGCCCAUCCUGGACAUGCUGGGUCGGGCGGAGGCGGCUGAUCCGACGGUGGCGUGUUCAUCUCUUAGGCGUGAGCGGCGGACGGCGAUCCGCUCCUUCGAUGCCCUUUUUUUUCAUCUCUGCGGGGCCAAGGGCGUGUUGGAGCGCGAGAGCUACGUUGAGCAGCUGGCGUAUGAUCGUAUUGAAUAUGGUUUGGCAGAGGAUGGACCGCGUGCCUUCCGUCAGCUGUUGGUGGACGCGGGUGGUUACUUUGUGAACCGCAGUUUGUGCCCUGAUGUGUGGACGCUGCACGCGUGCCAGCUCAUGAGACUCUACCUGGGAGCUUCUCUCCACGUACUGGAUCAAAUGCAUUGGCACGCCAUGACAGGCGCUCAUGAGCGCGAACAUCUGCGUAGUGGAGACGAAAGUGUUUUAUCCUGGAUGUGCCACGAAUCUGCCGCGAGCCCACGAAUGGCUCUGCAGGGAGGCGUGCUCCCCGGCAUGAGCGGCUGCAUUUACUGGAACGGACAGCCUUCAUUUUUUCCUUUUUUUUUCGCUGCUGGUAGGGGCUACGCUGGAGCGCUUAUCUCUCGGCACUGGACGUCGGCGAGUCUCCGUUUUCGUUUUUUCUUCGUUUUCGAAUUUCUUUUCCCUUUUCCUAGGUAGUGCUUGUAAGCUCACAUUGCGGGCUUCUGGAGCUCUGACAUUGGUGAGGAUACUGCUUGGUGCUCCCUCGAGCCAGCGCUGAUGAUAGUGUGCCAACAGGGAAGCAAGCAAGGUUGAUGCGCUCUGCCGCCGGAGAUGAGCGUGUUGGUGCGAUGCAGUAUCCUUUCAUAUUAUUUUCCCUUUUCGCUGUUUAUCAUCUUGUUUGUUGCGGAGGCGACUGCACGCCUGCUUGUGUGUCCGUGUGUUCCUCCAUCUGCGUCUCCACACUUCUGUUGAUGUACUCGCACUCAUGCUGCUUGAGUUGAAUAUGCGAGGCACAUGGCUCAUGCCGCUUUUUUUGUACAUACUCGGUGGUCCCAUCACACAACCGCGUGCACGCCCUCACGGUCGCCUACUUCUCGGUUUUCGUUGAUUUCCAGGGGCGCCCUGCACUGACCGUACUCCACGGCCUACAAUAGAAGGCCUCGUGCGUGGGGGCUUCUCAUUUUUUUCUUCUGAACACUCUCUUGCUCUGCAUAUCAUCUCGCAUGCCACACGAGCAGAGAAGAGUAGGAAGGGGGAGCUAUGGCCGGCGAAGGAACACGUGCAAGCGCAUACACCCAAUACCUCAGCCGAAGCUGUUGGAAGAGGCUGCUUCGCAGCUUGGGUUGCUCAUGAUGAUGUGUUCUCUUUUAGCUUUUUUUUUCCGCUCCCAUGUUACGUUGUUCAUACCGCCUUUUCAAUCCCUCUUUGUCUAUCCGCUUUUCUCUGUGUGACCUCCACAUCUUCUUCCUUAGUUUCGUACUCUUGCGCCUCUGAUGUGCGUUCUGUAGUCAAGGCGACCCAUAGCCGCUGCUCUCUCUCCUUCUUCCGCUCCCCUCCCUCUUCUCCUCUUUUCUUUGUGUCCUCUCUGAAUCUGACUCAUUCUCUCUCUUUAACGCUGCCAGAUUUUCCGUUGGGUCUCUCUGGCUCGGCAUGAAACGCUUCCUCGUCACAGGGCUUCUGCUUGCUCACCGGACGACGCCACGGCUGGUGCUGUUUGCAUGCGCGCCAAAAAAGCCGCACGCGAUGCCAGCUUUUAUUCUCUGUAACACAGACACCCAACAACACACCGCAUUGUGCGAGGCACAUUUCCUUUUUCGACGCCUCUGUGAUGCGCCUCUGUCUUUUCCACUACCGCUGCGCACGGGCGCCUCGUUCUUUGCAUAUGUUCCGCGACUCUGUGCGUGUCUGCGGAACGAAAAAUGAGUCGUCUUUAUGUGUGCUCCUCUUAGUGUUCGUGUGCGAGUGUGUGGCGACGCUCUCGUCUAUCUUGCUUCUCCGUGCCUUUGCCGCUCACCUUUCCACCUCGGGGUCGACCCUCGCUUUUCCCGGUGUUGUUGCUUCGGCGCCGUCCUCCGUCAUUCAUUGCACGCCUUCCUUCACCACACGCUCUCUCGCCUCUCUCUUCGCUUCGCUUCGGCGUUUUCGUCAGCAGCGAGUGCCCGAGUGAGCGGAGAUGAGCGCGGCCCAUCAACGAAGGCGGGCGAAAAGAAAUUCAAAGAAGAACAGCAGCGCUAUUUGCGCUGCGUGACGCACCACCUCUCCUCCCCUCUGGAACGGAGUUGAGGGAGCGGGAAGGGAUGUCAUCCUCUUCUCUUCCAUCGCCGUGCUACUUGCCACUUCUCAGACGUAUUAGAGGAGAAGAGCGAUAGGAACGGGGUGCAGCGGUGAGGCAGCUCGCCUGCAUCGGCCUGCUUCACCGCUGGCUGGACGCUGCUGUUUUGGAUGUCCUUUUGUUUCUCGUUUUGUUUGGCGCGCAGCGAUACCCCCCUCCCUGGCGCCGAUGUCAGUCCUUGCCGAAGGUGA
rnacentral:misc_RNA from 1 species